rnacentral:rRNA from 1 species
UACAGAGGUCUCAAGCGUUGUUCGGAUUCAUUGGGCGUAAAGGGUGCGUAGGCGGGCUGCCAAGUUUGGGGUGAAAUCCUCCGGCUCAACCGGGGAAGUGCCUUGAAUACUGGCGGUCUCGAGGGAGGUAGGGGCGUGCGGAACUAACGGUGGAGCGGUGAAAUGCGUUGAUAUCGUUAGGAACUCCGGUGGCGAAGGCGGCACGCUGGACCUUUACUGACGCUGAGGUGCGAAAGCGUGGGGAGCAAACAGG